rnacentral:tRNA from 2 species
UGGGCUUAUAGUUUAAUUGGUUGAAACGUACCGCUCAUAACGGUGAUAUUGUAGGUUCGAGCCCUACUAAGCCCAUC